rnacentral:rRNA from 1 species
UGGGGAAUAUUGCGCAAUGGGGGCAACCCUGACGCAGCAACGCCGCGUGAAGGAAGAAGGUCUUCGGAUUGUAAACUUUUGUCUUAAGGGACGAAAAAGGACAAUACCUUAGGAGGAAGCCACGGCUAACUACGUGCCAGCAGCCGCGGUAAUACGUAGGUGGCGAGCGUUAUCCGGAUUUACUGGGUGUAAAGGGCGCGUAGGCGGGGAUACAAGUCAGGUGUGAAAUCUAUGGGCUUAACCCAUAAACUGCACUUGAAACUGUAUCUCUUGAGUGUCGGAGAGGUAGACGGAAUUCCUAGUGUAGCGGUGAAAUGCGUAGAUAUUAGGAGGAACACCAGUGGCGAAGGCGGUCUACUGGACGAUAACUGACGCUGAGGCGCGAAAGCGUGGGAGCAAACAGGAUUAGAUACCCUGGUAGU